rnacentral:ncRNA from 1 species
UACCUGGUUGAUCCUGCCAGUAGUCAUAUGCUUGUCUCAAAGAUUAAGCCAUGCAAGUCUAAGUACGAGCUCUCGUACAGUGAAACUGCGAAUGGCUCAUUAAAUCAGUUAUGGUUCAUUUGAUCGUACAGUUUACUUGGAUAACUGUGGUAAUUCUAGAGCUAAUACAUGCGAGAAGCGCCGUCCUCGCGGGAGGCGUGCAUUUAUCAGACCAAAAACCGGCCGCGUCUUCGGGCGCGUUCGCCUUGGUGACUCUGGAUAACUUUGCGGAUCGCACGGUCUAGCACCGGCGACGGAUCAUUCAAGUGUCUGCCCUAUCAACUUUCGUCGGUACGGUAUUUGCCUACCGAGGUUCUUACGGGUGACGGGGAAUCAGGGUUCGAUUCCGGAGAGGGAGCCUGAGAAACGGCUACCACAUCCAAGGAAGGCAGCAGGCGCGCAAAUUACCCAUUCCCGACGCGGGGAGGUAGUGACGAAAAAUAACAAUGCAGGACUCGUUCGAGGCCCUGUAAUUGGAAUGAGUACACUUUAAAAGCUUUAACGAGUAUCCAUUGGAGGGCAAGUCUGGUGCCAGCAGCCGCGGUAAUUCCAGCUCCAAAAGUAUAUAUUUAAGUUGUUGCGGUUAAAAAGCUCGUAGUUGGAUUUUGGGCGCAGGCGGCCGGUCCGUCGCAAGGCGUGUACUGGACGUCCUGGCCUUCCCUCCGGUUCUCCGCCGGUGCUCUUGACUGAGUGUCGGCGGCGGCCGGAACGUUUACUUUGAAAAAAUUAGAGUGUUCAAAGCAGGCUCUCGAGCCUGGAUAAUGGUGCAUGGAAUAAUGGAAUAGGACCUCGGUUCUAUUUUGUUGGUUUUC